GAGUGAAACCAUUCGAAACAAUACAGCAAAGUUAAAAUAAGGCUUAGUCCGUAUUCAACUUGAGAAAGUGGCACCGAUUCGGUGCUUUUUUU
rfam:Streptococcus salivarius SK126 contig00001, whole genome shotgun sequence.